GUGCUUGCUUCAGCAGCACAUAUACUAAAAUUGGAAUGACACAGAGAUUAGCAUGGCCCCUGCACAAGGAUGACACGCAAAUUUGUGAAGCAUUUCACAUUUUA
ensembl:snRNA U6 U6 spliceosomal RNA